GUACUAGACCCCAGAUGAGGAUCUCAGGAAGAUCCACAAAGCUGCGUCCAGGGGAACGAACGUGUGGAAGCUGCAGCGGAGCCUCCUGCUCAAGAGUAAAGGACCGGUCUGAAACCUACAAGAACAGGGUCUCCCUGUUGCGCAGGCUGGUCUUGAAGUAUUGAGCCCAAGUGAUCCUCCUGUCUCAGCCUCCCAAAGU
rnacentral:misc_RNA from 1 species